GUGAGGAAUAUUGGUCAAUGGACGAGAGUCUGAACCAGCCAAGUCGCGUGAAGGAAGACGGUUCUAUGAAUUGUAAACUUCUUUUGUGCAGGAAUAAAGUGGGUUACGUGUAACCUUUUGUAUGUACUGUACGAAUAAGGAUCGGCUAACUCCGUGCCAGCAGCCGCGGUAAUACGGAGGAUCCGAGCGUUAUCCGGAUUUAUUGGGUUUAAAGGGUGCGUAGGUGGAUUGAUAAGUCAGCGGUGAAAGUUUGCAGCUUAACUGUAAAAUUGCAGUUGAAACUGUCGGUCUUGAGUGCAAAUGAGGUAGGCGGAAUGUGUUGUGUAGCGGUGAAAUGCUUAGAUAUAACACAGAACUCCGAUUGCGAAGGCAGCUUACUGGGAUGCAACUGACACUGAUGCACGAAAGCGUGGGUAUCAAACAGGAUUAGAUACCCUGGUAGUCC
rnacentral:rRNA from 1 species